GGGACUCACCUAGCAGUGGUGGGAACCAAGACAGCCCUGUGCAGCAGGAGCUAAAGCCAGAGAAGAGACCCAUCCAUCGUCUGAGAAGCAGUCCAAGGUUAGAAUGAAGAUAUGCUGAUGGUGAGCCAGCUUUGUUUCUGUGAAGGCAUGAGGGCAAUGGAGGGGGUGCGUGUGGAGCCACAAGACAGAGAGGUUGGACUUAAGGAGAUCUGCAACAUCAAAUUUCACUGCUUGAACACUUCUUCUUGGAAUCGAAUCCCCAUGCUUUGAGAAAGCCCAAGCAGCCACGUGGAGAGGAGGAACCAAGGCUCCUGGCUGACAGCCAGCACCAGUUGCCAGCCAUGAGUGAGACCAUUUUGGACCAGGCCAUCCUAGUAUCCCAGAUGACACCAUGUGCAGAAGAAGAACCAUGUGGCCAAACCAUGGAUCAAUGGAAG